UAGUCGGAGGUGUGUCUCGGACGGUCGGUUCGCCGCUUGUCGGUGCUCAACUGGCCGGUCCGGACGUCCUGCCGGUGGGGCCGCGAGGCUCCGUUAUCCUUCUUUGGUCCUCUUUACCGAGUGCCUUGGUGGGCCGGCACGUUUACUUUGAACAAAUUAGAGUGCUCAAAGCAGGCCGUUGGUCGCCUGAAUACUGUGUGCAUGGAAUAAUGGAAUAGGACCUCGGUUCCAUUUUGUUGGUUUUCAGAACUCGAGGUAAUGAUUAAUAGGGACGGACGGGGGCAUUCGUAUUGCGACGUUAGAGGUGAAAUUCUUGGAUCGUCGCAAGACGAACCGAUGCGAAAGCAUUUGCCAAGAACGUUUUCGUUGAUCAAGAACGAAAGUUAGAGGUUCGAAGGCGAUCAGAUACCGCCCUAGUUCUAACCAUAAACGAUGCCAGCUAGCCAUCCGCCGAAGUUCCUUCUAUGACUCGGCGGGCAGCUUCCGGGAAACCAAAGCUCUUGGGUUCCGGGGGAAGUAU
rnacentral:rRNA from 1 species